CAGCCCCGUACACAAAAAUGCACAUAUUGUGAGCUCGAUGAGUAGGGCGGGACACGUGGUAUCCUGUCUGAAUAUGGGGGGACCAUCCUCCAAGGCUAAAUACUCCUGACUGACCGAUAGUGAACCAGUACCGUGAGGGAAAGGCGAAAAGAACCCCGGCGAGGGGAGUGAAAAAGAACCUGAAACCGUGUACGUACAAGCAGUGGGAGCCUCUUAAUGGGGUGACUGCGUACCUUUUGUAUAAUGGGUCAGCGACUUAUAUUCUGUAGCAAGGUUAACCGAAUAGGGGAGCCGAAGGGAAACCGAGUCUUAACUGGGCGUUAAGUUGCAGGGUAUAGACCCGAAACCCGGUGAUCUAGCCAUGGGCAGGUUGAAGGUUGGGUAACACUAACUGGAGGACCGAACCGACUAAUGUUGAAAAAUUAGCGGAUGACUUGUGGCUGGGGGUGAAAGGCCAAUCAAACCGGGAGAUAGCUGGUUCUCCCCGAAAGCUAUUUAGGUAGCGCCUCGUGAAUUCAUCUCCGGGGGUAGAGCACUGUUUCGGCAAGGGGGUCAUCCCGACUUACCAACCCGAUGCAAACUGCGAAUACCGGAGAAUGUUAUCACGGGAGACACACGGCGGGUGCUAACGUCCGUCGUGAAGAGGGAAACAACCCAGACCGCCAGCUAAGGUCCCAAAGUCAUGGUUAAGUGGGAAACGAUGUGGGAAGGCCCAGACAGCCAGGAUGUUGGCUUAGAAGCAGCCAUCAUUUAAAGAAAGCGUAAUAGCUCACUGGUCGAGUCGGCCUGCGCGGAAGAUGUAACGGGGCUAAACCAUGCACCGAAGCUGCGGCAGCGACACUAUGUGUUGUUGGGUAGGGGAGCGUUCUGUAAGCCUGUGAAGGUGUACUGUGAGGUAUGCUGGAGGUAUCAGAAGUGCGAAUGCUGACAUAAGUAACGAUAAAGCGGGUGAAAAGCCCGCUCGCCGGAAGACCAAGGGUUCCUGUCCAACGUUAAUCGGGGCAGGGUGAGUCGACCCCUAAGGCGAGGCCGAAAGGCGUAGUCGAUGGGAAACAGGUUAAUAUUCCUGUACUUGGUGUUACUGCGAAGGGGGGACGGAGAAGGCUAUGUUGGCCGGGCGACGGUUGUCCCGGUUUAAGCGUGUAGGCUGGUUUUCCAGGCAAAUCCGGAAAAUCAAGGCUGAGGCGUGAUGACGAGGCACUACGGUGCUGAAGCGACAAAUGCCCUGCUUCCAGGAAAAGCCUCUAAGCAUCAGGUAACAUCAAAUCGUACCCCAAACCGACACAGGUGGUCAGGUAGAGAAUACCAAGGCGCUUGAGAGAACUCGGGUGAAGGAACUAGGCAAAAUGGUGCCGUAACUUCGGGAGAAGGCACGCUGAUAUGUAGGUGAAGCGACUUGCUCGUGGAGCUGAAAUCAGUCGAAGAUACCAGCUGGCUGCAACUGUUUAUUAAAAACACAGCACUGUGCAAACACGAAAGUGGACGUAUACGGUGUGACGCCUGCCCGGUGCCGGAAGGUUAAUUGAUGGGGUUAGCGGUAACGCGAAGCUCUUGAUCGAAGCCCCGGUAAACGGCGGCCGUAACUAUAACGGUCCUAAGGUAGCGAAAUUCCUUGUCGGGUAAGUUCCGACCUGCACGAAUGGCGUAAUGAUGGCCAGGCUGUCUCCACCCGAGACUCAGUGAAAUUGAACUCGCUGUGAAGAUGCAGUGUACCCGCGGCAAGACGGAAAGACCCCGUGAACCUUUACUAUAGCUUGACACUGAACAUUGAGCCUUGAUGUGUAGGAUAGGUGGGAGGCUUUGAAGUGUGGACGCCAGUCUGCAUGGAGCCGACCUUGAAAUACCACCCUUUAAUGUUUGAUGUUCUAACGUGGGCCCCUUACCGGGGUUGCGGACAGUGUCUGGUGGGUAGUUUGACUGGGGCGGUCUCCUCCUAAAGAGUAACGGAGGAGCACGAAGGUUGGCUAAUCCUGGUCGGACAUCAGGAGGUUAGUGCAAUGGCAUAAGCCAGCUUGACUGCGAGCGUGACGGCGCGAGCAGGUGCGAAAGCAGGUCAUAGUGAUCCGGUGGUUCUGAAUGGAAGGGCCAUCGCUCAACGGAUAAAAGGUACUCCGGGGAUAACAGGCUGAUACCGCCCAAGAGUUCAUAUCGACGGCGGUGUUUGGCACCUCGAUGUCGGCUCAUCACAUCCUGGGGCUGAAGUAGGUCCCAAGGGUAUGGCUGUUCGCCAUUUAAAGUGGUACGCGAGCUGGGUUUAGAACGUCGUGAGACAGUUCGGUCCCUAUCUGCCGUGGGCGCUGGAGAACUGAGGGGGGCUGCUCCUAGUACGAGAGGACCGGAGUGGACGCAUCACUGGUGUUCGGGUUGUCAUGCCAAUGGCACUGCCCGGUAGCUAAAUGCGGAAGAGAUAAGUGCUGAAAGCAUCUAAGCACGAAACUUGCCCCGAGAUGAGUUCUCCCUGACUCCUUGAGAGUCCUGAAGGAACGUUGAAGACGACGACGUUGAUAGGCCGGGUGUGUAAGCGCAGCGAUGCGUUGAGCUAACCGGUACUAAUGAACCGUGAGGCUUAACCUUACAACGCCGAAG
rnacentral:rRNA from 1 species